GUAAAGUUUAGAACUGGUCAUAAUGAGUUAGUACAAAAAGAUGCCUUGAGGGGUCUAUAUGGCAUAUCAUAGCCCCUAACUCCCAAAUCCUUUUCAGACUAAUUAUAAUAAUUAGAACUUAAAUAGGAAUAAAACCCCAGCUCUCAGGGGGAGGUGGGAGGAUGAGUGUGGCUCUAAUAGCGGACACCAUACUCGGAGAACUCAAUUAUAAGCAAGUAAUUUCCUUCUCUCCAAAAGGUAAUUGGCCUCUUCCACAUCUCUGUUCUCACAGAUGAUGGGGGAGAAUUGUGUGAAGAAGGUACUCUGCUGCCAAUAGGACCCCAGAUUGCUGGAUAAUGUGUGGAGAUGAAAACCAGCAAUGGCCUUAAUCUUUUCCUGGACUAAAAGGGAAAUGGCCUGAACAGUAUGAAGUGCCUGGUGCUUCACUGUAACAUGUUGCCAAGGAAAGAAACCUCAGGAGUAACUUGGGAACCUUCUCCCCCUUCAGUUCUUGCUCACAGCACCAGGCCACCUUCAGCACCUCGGCAGACAAUGCGACUUUCCAAAGAGCUAAGACGCUCUGGACUUAACGCUAUCUUGCAGCAGAGAGAGUUGGAGAAUGGAGCAACAACUGUAAUAUUGAAGAGCUCCAUAGCCACAGACUGGGAAAAGCAUGAUCGGAUGUGAUUUUCAGAACAGAUGCCCAAGCAGAGUUGGCAGUUAAUUAAAAGCACUGUGUACUUAAUGAUUAACUAAUCACAGCAUGAUGGCAUUCAACGGAGAUGCAAGAAACUUCUCUGCUGGAUUCAACAGAGAAACUCCUAAUGUCUGCCUUCAGGGUACCAUACUUACAGCCGUUUUCUUUUGCAUUACCAGCAGAGACAACACAAGCAGUUAGUCUGGCAAAUUUCAUUAAGCAUUGCUUAGUUAAAACUUUAAAAACAGGAAAAGAUUAGCUUACUUAAUACCGUGUCAGCUGUAAAUACUGCACAGUUUCUUUGCAAUGGUAUUCCACAGCCAUACUGUCAAACAAACGAUUGCAAAGCACUAUAAAACAUUUAGUCAUGCUUCCUGAGGGAGCUAUGUAAAGUAUUAUUUCCAUUUCACCAGUGAGUAACUGAGGGGAUAGAGAGGUUAUAUGACAUAAACGGCAUGCCAAAAAACAGUCUGGAAAGUUCUAUAUUUUCAUCUGUUCAUUUCAAGGUUAUCUUUUUACAUUCUUUUGUCAUUUCUUUUUAUCUUACCCUUAAAUACUCAUUCCUGUUGCACAGGACCUGACUGUUGUCUUGCUUAAAUUUAUGUGCCGCACUUAACAUUGUGAGAUCCUAUGCUCUGGCAACCCAAUUAAAUAUUAAUUGCAAUAUUUCUUCAUUUUGUAAUCUGUGUUCACAGACAAGCCAGUUAUGUGAUACAGAUGUAGUGAUACAGAAGGUAGUUGCUGAGGCAUUUUCAACCCAAAUUUUGGGGAAAUCUCGGGAGUGGGGGUUGCUUUCUUGUCGGAAUUCUGCUUCGUGGUGUGGAUGCAAUCCAAAUAAUUAGAGCUAGAAAGAAGAAUGACAGUAGAUUUUUUUUAAUUCAAAAUUCAAAGUAUAAAUUCAAUGAUGAUAUUGAAAAAGAACAUUUUAAAAUUACUGUUAGAACUAGUACGGACAUGUUUAGCAAAAUAUAACAGAUGUUUUUCUAGUAG
ensembl:lncRNA